GGCGGACGGGUGAGUAAUAUAUAGUUAACCUGCCCUCGAGAAAGGAAUAACAGUUGGAAACGACUGCUAAUGCCCUAUAUGCCUUUAAGACAUAAGUCUGCAAGGGAAAUGCUUUUGUGCUCGAGGAUGGGACUGUACGGUAUCAGAUAGUUGGUGGGGUAAUGGCCUACCAAGUCAAUGACGCCUAACUGGUUUGAGAGGAUGAUCAGUCACACUGGAACUGAGACACGGUCCAGACUCCUACGGGAGGCAGCAGUGGGGAAUAUUGCACAAUGGAGGAAACUCUGAUGCAGCAACGCCGCGUGGAGGAUGACACAUUUCGGUGCGUAAACUCCUUUUAUAUAGGAAGAUAAUGACGGUACUAUAUGAAUAAGCGCCGGCUAACUCCGUGCCAGCAGCCGCGGUAAUACGGAGGGCGCAAGCGUUACUCGGAAUCACUGGGCGUAAAGAGCGUGUAGGCGGAUAGAUAAGUCAGAAGUGAAAUCCUAUGGCUCAACCAUAGAACUGCUUUUGAAACUGUUUAUCUAGAGUGUGGGAGAGGUAGAUGGAAUUUCUGGUGUAGGGGUAAAAUCCGUAGAGAUCAGAAGGAAUACCGAUUGCGAAGGCGAUCUACUGGAACAUAACUGACGCUGAGACGCGAAAGCGUGGGGAGCAAACAGGAUUAGAUACCCUGGUAGUCCACGCCCUAAACGAUGUACACUAGUUGUUGUGAGGCUUGACCUUGCAGUAAUGCAGUUAACACAUUAAGUGUACCGC
rnacentral:rRNA from 1 species